GACGUAGGGCGCGAGCGUGUCCGGAUUUAUUGGGCGUAAAGAGCUCGUAGGCGGCUUGUCGCGUCGUCCGUGAAAACCCACAGCUCAACUGUGGGCUUGCGGUCGAUACGGGCAGGCUAGAGUCGGUAGGGGAGACUGGAAUUCCUGGUGUAGCGGUGAAAUGCGCAGAUAUCAGGAGGAACACCGGUGGCGAAGGCGGGUCUCUGGGCCGAUACUGACGCUGAGGAGCGAAAGCGUGGGGAGCGAACAGG
rnacentral:rRNA from 1 species